GGAUGAGCUUGCGGCCUAUCAGCUUGUUGGUGGGGUAAUGGCCUACCAAGGCGUCGACGGGUAGCCGGCCUGAGAGGGUGUACGGCCACAUUGGGACUGAGAUACGGCCCAGACUCCUACGGGAGGCAGCAGUGGGGAAUAUUGCACAAUGGGCGCAAGCCUGAUGCAGCGACGCCGCGUGGGGGAUGACGGCCUUCGGGUUGUAAACUCCUUUCGCCCACGACGAAGCCCUUCGGGGUGACGGUAGUGGGAUAAGAAGCACCGGCUAACUACGUGCCAGCAGCCGCGG
rnacentral:rRNA from 1 species